rnacentral:rRNA from 1 species
UACGGAGGGGGCUAGCGUUGUUCGGAAUUACUGGGCGUAAAGCGCGCGUAGGCGGACCUGCAAGUCGGGGGUGAAAGCCCGAGGCUCAACCUCCGGAACGUAGCCUUCGAUGCUGCGGGUCUCGAGUCCGGGAGAGGUGAGUGGAAUUCCUAGUGUAGAGGUGAAAUUCGUAGAUAUUAGGAAGAACACCAGUGGCGAAGGCGGCUCACUGGCCCGGUACUGACGCUGAGGCGCGAAAGCGUGGGGAGCAAACAGG